AUGACCUCUUGUAAAAUCCUCUUGUCCCAAAAUGCUCGAAGUUUCAUAUUGUUAUCAUUCUCAGGCUUCUUCUAUCAUCCAUUGGUGGGAUUUGCAACGUUGAACUUCAUAUUGCAAUCUUCUUCAGCAACCGCCGUGUCAGAAUUUCUCGAAGAUCAGAAAGCUCAGGACAUGUGCAUGGUGAUAGUUCUGGUUGUUGUAUCCGAAAUAGUGGGUUUCGACUGA